rnacentral:rRNA from 1 species
GAUGAACGCUAGCGGGAGGCUUAACACAUGCAAGUCGAGGGGCAGCACGAUCCCGAGUAAUCGGGAUUGGUGGCGACCGGCGCACGGGUGAGUAACACGUAUGCAACCUACCCUGUACAGGGGGAUAACCCGGAGAAAUUCGGACUAAUAUCCCAUAAUGAUAUUUGAGGGCAUCCUUGGAUAUUUAAAGCUCAGGCGGUACGGGAUGGGCAUGCGGAACAUUAGCUAGUUGGGAGGGUAACGGCCUACCAAGGCAACGAUGUUUAGGGGACCUGAGAGGGUGAUCCCCCACACUGGUACUGAGACACGGACCAGACUCCUACGGGAGGCAGCAGUGAGGAAUAUUGGUCAAUGGGCGCAAGCCUGAACCAGCCAUCCCGCGUGCAGGAAGACGGCCCUAUGGGUUGUAAACUGCUUUUCCAGGGGGAGAAUUUUUCUGUCGUGACAGGAAUUGACGGUACCCUGGGAAUAAGCAUCGGCUAACUCCGUGCCAGCAGCCGCGGUAAACUGU